UGGGGUAUAGCUCAGUGGUAGAGCAUUUGAUUGCGGAUCAAGAGCUCCCUGGUUCAAAUCUACUGUAA
rnacentral:tRNA from 1 species